rnacentral:sRNA from 1 species
ACGUUUUUUUCAUAGAGAUUUAGAUUUAAGGUUAGAAGAAUUGUGGAAGUCGUGAGACUUCCCUUUUUUUUAAGAUCUAAAGAAAAAGGUCGCCCCAUAAAGGCGGCCUUUUU